GAUGAACGCUGGCGGCGUGCCUAAUACAUGCAAGUCGAGCGAACGGACGAGAAGCUUGCUUCUCUGAUGUUAGCGGCGGACGGGUGAGUAACACGUGGAUAACCUACCUAUAAGACUGGGAUAACUUCGGGAAACCGGAGCUAAUACCGGAUAAUAUUUUGAACCGCAUGGUUCAAAAGUGAAAGACGGUCUUGCUGUCACUUAUAGAUGGAUCCGCGCUGCAUUAGCUAGUUGGUAAGGUAACGGCUUACCAAGGCAACGAUGCAUAGCCGACCUGAGAGGGUGAUCGGCCACACUGGAACUGAGACAUGGUCCAGACUCCUACGGGUGGCAGCAGUAGGGAAUCUUCCGCAAUGGGCGAAAGCCUGACGGAGCAACGCCGCGUGAGUGAUGAAGGUCUUCGGAUCGUAAAACUCUGUUAUUAGGGAAGAACAUAUGUGUAAGUAACUGUGCACAUCUUGACGGUACCUAAUCAGAAAGCCACGGCUAACUACGUG
rnacentral:rRNA from 1 species